GCCUAACACAUGCAAGUCGCACGGAGUAGCAAUACUCAGUGGCGCACGGGUGCGUAACACGUAGAUAACCUGCCCCGAAGAGGGGGAUAACGUUCCGAAAGGAGCGCUAAUACCGCAUAACGCCGAGAUGGGUUCGCCUGUUUCGGACAAAGGCUGGGACCAGCAAUGGCCAGUCGUUUUGGGAGGGGUCUGCGGCCCAUCAGCUAGUUGGUAAGGUAAUGGCUUACCAAGGCAAAGACGGGUAGCUGGUCUGAGAGGAUGAUCAGCCACACUGGUACUGGAACACGGACCAGACUCCUACGGGAGGCAGCAGUGGGGAAUCUUGGUCAAUGGGCGCAAGCCUGAACCAGCGACGCCGCGUGAGUGAUGAAGGCUUCGGGUUGUAAAGCUCUGUGGGGAGGGACGAAAGACUGAGGUCUAAUAGGCUUCAGGUUGACGGUACCUCCUUAGCAAGCACCGGCUAACUCUGUGCCAGCAGCCGCGGUAAGACAGAGGGUGCAAACGUUGCUCGGAAUCACUGGGCGUAAAGGGCGUGUAGGCGGGAAGGAAAGUCAGAUGUGAAAUCCCCAGGCUCAACCUGGGAACUGCAUUUGAAACUCCCUUUCUUGAGUACCGGAGAGGAA
rnacentral:rRNA from 1 species